AUUGAACGCUGGCGGCAGGCCUAACACAUGCAAGUCGAGCGGAUGAAGGGAGCUUGCUCCUGUAUUCAGCGGCGGACGGGUGAGUAAUGCCUAGGAAUCUGCCUGGUAGUGGGGGAUAACGUCCGUAAACGGGCGCUAAUACCGCAUACGUCCUGAGGGAGAAAGUGGGGGAUCUUCGGACCUCACGCUAUCAGAUGAGCCUAGGUCGGAUUAGCUAGUUGGUGGGGUAAAGGCCUACCAAGGCGACGAUCCGUAACUGGUCUGAGAGGAUGAUCAGUCACACUGGAACUGAGACACGGUCCAGACUCCUACGGGAGGCAGCAGUGGGGAAUAUUGGACAAUGGGCGAAAGCCUGAUCCAGCCAUGGCGCGUGUGUGAAGAAGGUCUUCGGAUUGUAAAGCACUUUAAGUUGGGAGGAAGGGCAGUAAGUUAAUACCUUGCUGUUUUGACGUUACCAACAGAAUAAGCACCGGCUAACUUCGUG
rnacentral:rRNA from 1 species